GGGGGAAGCUAGGCCUUUCUGAUCGAUGGUCCAGCGCCAGCCCAACGCCAGCCUCGCGGAACUCGUGGUGGCAGAAGCCCCGUUCCGGAUUCCCGAACGGGCGGCGCAGUGGAGCCGGCCGCCGCUUCCAUCAUCCAGCCCGCCCCCCUUUGGACGCCCUCGCUUGAAUCGGCAGGGCCGUGCGCUUGCGGCUCGUCGACGCCGCCGACUUCCCUGGGGGUGUACGCCCGCGGCUCCGCACCCAUGGGCCAUGGACCCGAGAAGCGCUGGCUUAGCGAGCUCCGGUCAGGUUCUCCGUUUGGCCGUUCGAAGGACGCGCGUACGGCGUCUCUGGUCCUCCGGUGCCAACCGUGGCAUUGCUGGUGCGGUACUUCUCUGUUGUCCGAGGCCAGGCUUUUGUGCUAGCGCUUGAGGCCACCCCAUGCGACCUUCAGCAGGAGCUUGACCAGUUCAUGUAUGGAAUCUGAGCCUUAUCUCUGCAUUGACCCCUAUUGGUGCAAUUUUGAUAAAAUGUCUCGUCAGAUUAUCCUCAUGAAGCGAGAUGGUCGGUGUCCUUGACUAACACUUUGCAACCACGUUCUGGUGGGGGGAGAGCAAUGACAACAGGGGGUAUGCAUGCCAACAUGACAAGGGCUAGAAGCCAUCCUUUGACAAAAGCUACUAUAAAUCCACCGAGGAAUGAAGCCACAAGUUGUAGAAACUUGCCGACCUGAAGAAAAUUUCACAGUAUCAAACUAUGUCAGUUUCUAUACAAGUUGGAAUAUGAUGACUUCAGUUUUGCUUAUGUGCUCACUCGACUUGUAAGUACUUACCUUCUCACCGAUAGCAUCCUGAACUAACACGGUAUCACCUGACAUUCUUGAUACAAUUUUCCCAGUUGUCAUUUCUACAUCAAAGAAUGAUAUAUCUUGUCUCAGGACAGAUUUGAGAUACAGAGACCUAAUGCGUGUCGCCUGCCUUUCACCGAGAGGUGAUUGUUCUUUGAGGAAAUACAGAGGUGAUUGUCUCAGGUUGGUACACGAUCAGAUGUGUUAAUCUCGAACACACGUGGACUGAAAAUACAAAAGGCGCCUUAAACUAAAGAACUCUUGCUGAGAUACUCAAUUUUGAGUUGUAACCUUUUAUACAAAAAUAUAUGGAGCAUGCUUGCUAGAUCAUGCUGCCUAAUUGUGUGGAGCACUUUGUUCAAGAUGGGAAACUGAUGAAAUGUCGAUCAGUUUUUAUCUUGUCAUACAUGAUCCUGAUGGCCAACUGAUAAUGAGAGAGACAAACGUGACAGUGUGUGGAUCAUCUCUGUCCCGUUUCGGACGAGGAAAAAUAUAACUGCACAUGGGCAGAGCUUCAGAUC